rnacentral:lncRNA from 15 species
AUGUCCAGCACAGUCAGAGGAUCCUGGUUGGACAACAGCAGUAUCCAGAGCAGCCUGCACACCCCAGCCCUCACCUCCACUGUCCAGAGACAGCCAGUCAAGCAGAUGGCCUCCAGGAAACCCGGAGCCACAGAGUCUGAUAUCGGCAUCGGCUUAACUGAGCCGGAGUCUGAGGAUGAGUUCUCCUCAAGGUCCCACAUGCGGAAGGUGAAGCCCAUCAAACGACGCCAGCUCUCCUCCAGCCAGACUGGCCCCAGCGUGGAUCAGCAAGACCUGAACUCCCACCUCACCUUACUGUCUCUGAUUGAGGACGACGAUGAAGAAAGAGAAGAGCCCGAGAUUGAUGAUUACGAAAGUGACUCUGAACGGGAAUCUGUUUAUACACUGCCUUCCACACGUCACACCUCAGCCAGUGUCCUUGAUGAGCUCUUUGAGUGAGGGCACAAAGACCUGCACCGCCCUGACAACAGCAGUUCUUUUUUAUUAAUACAUCUCUUCAACAUUAGUUUGGUACAUUUGUGUGCACUUAAUAUUAAGGCCAUCGUUCUUCUAAAUGACCUUACCGAGUUCGCCCAUCAGAUCUAUUUGAGUCAUUCAUUUUGUUGGAGGGGAAGACGAAGCGAAAUAAUGAUUAUGAAGUCUGGGGACAAACGUUGUUGACAUUCAUUAUUAGGAAUGUUUAUGUUUUGAACACUAAAUACAACAAAUGUUCUGUUGCUUGCGGCAAGAUGAAGAAUUCCUGUGUUCCACAUUGUGAAUUUUGUGUGUAUCUUGCACUGUUGUUGACCGCACCAGCUUGUUUACUUAAUGUUUAUUAAAAAAGGGCUGAAUUGAACAAAGUAACACAGAGUGUUUAAUAAAGUCACAAUCAAAUGUGUGUACGAGUGAGCAUGACAGUGGGAGGCAAAUCAAUUCCUAAAUAACAUACAAACACAGACUAAAUGCACAUAACGUACAUCAUCAGUAAAUGAAUAUGGGCAGAAAAACUUGCUCCUAGUGUUAUAUAUUUUGUUAAUUUGUAGUACACAUUAGAACAAGAGGCCAGGGGUUAGUUAAUUGCAGAGAACAGAGGGAAUUGAAAAAUAAAAAUAAAAGAAACCUUACACUCAUUGAGAGUACUCACAUUUUUUUAUCAAGGCUUAUGACUCAUAUAUAGAUCCAACUUUUUGUAAGUGAAUUCAUAUAUGAAACUUAUCCAAGAUCAUUAGAAGAUUGAUAAUGUGUGUUUGUUGUUAUAGUAGGUAAUUUGGAACUGCUGUAUCUUGCGAGAGUGUAGGACAGUAACAAUGCUGAAAAAGCAUAUAUAUCUGUAUUUUUCUUUUUCUAACUGGGUAAAUGUAUUAGAUUAACCUCCUUUGUCUACCAUACCAUCACUAAGUGUCUAUAAUGAGUGUGUUGUGUCUGUUCCACAAUGUGAAGGACAGCAGAGAGCUCUACUGUUUAUAAGAGUUGUACUAACACUCUUUGAGUUCACUCUGGGGUCCCUCAGUUGAAUGAAAUCCAAUCCCCAUUCCUGCAUGAAUACUGGUCUCCGGUGGUUGUGAAGGGACUAAAACCGUGAAUUUAAACCGCAUCUGUUGAUUCCGUGGUCGCUUCGGGGUUUCGGACUGAAGUUAAUCUCACCGGAGGGUCUGCAGCCAUGGCUCGUAGAGGGUAAUGGGCUCACUUUCACAAUGACGGCAUGGCAGCAACAGGUUGGCCUAAAUGAACAGAAGUUGUACGUGUUCUCUGAACCGCUCUUUGGAAACUAAGAUCAGAGUAUCACUGGGUGUGAAGGCAGCAAAUAUAACCUGAAGUCAUCUUCAUUAAGUGUGCAGCCCAUAAUGCAGUUUAUUCACUAUAAUAACGUUAUCUCCUCGUUUUCCCUCUGCACUCACUUCACUCUGACCACAACCCGGGAAUAUAUGCAUGGUGAAGUUGCACAACUUGAGUGUGCGGUGGUGAACUAGUGUGUGAGCAGUGAGGCAUUGUCUCUGAGCUUGUGACUACACGGUGACCCGGAUGGAUCCGCUUAAACAAAGGAGCAGGCGCCACCGUGCAAGCACAUGUCCAACAAUAACUUCCACACACUUAGUUUUUACUCGAGUUAUUUUAAGGGUGAGCGUGGUUUCUCUCUAACCACGUAGUUCACAUCGCGUGUAGUUGAGUGCGGACAUAGAAAUACAAAUAGUGGCGAUAUUAGGCAUCGUUUAGCACCAGUUUUUAAAAGUUAUUCUGAUAAUGUUUGCUGCUAUUAUUUUGUUUCUCAGCCUGAAUGGCGCAACAAUAGUUUGAAUAAAUAAGUCGAACAGUGACAUUCAGUAGUCUUUUAAACUCAACACCAGUCUGGUCUCUCAUUGAAUGCUGACCGGUUAGCAUUAGCUCCUCACACCCAGGCGAUGCCAGCUCCAGUAAGUCUACCGGUGGUCCUGUGCCUUGCUAAAGGGCACUUCAAAAAGCUGGUUUAUACACUCUGCAUCGUGUUGGACGAUGUUACUAAAAUAUAAAAUGUGAUGUAUUUACUAUACAGUUAAAGACAACACAGCGCACAUCGAUAAAAUAAUAUUAUAACCGGAUUUAAACAUUAAAAGGUACGUUAGUGUUCUUAACCAUGGCAAUGCAUAAUCUAUAAUAGUUAUGUUAAUUUAUAAACUUUAAAAUACCAUAAACAAUGUGCAGCAGUCGGUUUAAUGAAGAAGUUAAAGUGUAACCUGUCUCCGCGGUGUGAGUGUAUCCAUGGAGCUUACGUUCAAAGACCGAGCUAACGUUAGAAGAUGGCUGGCGCAGCUGCACAUUUUCCGCCACAGCGACAAA